UACGGGGGGGCAAGCGUUGUUCGGAAUUACUGGGCGUAAAGGCUCGUAGGCGGCCAACUAAGUCGGAUGUGAAAUCCCCAGGCUCAACUUGGGAACUGCAUCCGAUACUGAUGGCUUGAAUUCGGGAGAGGAUGCAGAAUUCCAGGUGUAGCGGUGAAAUGCGUAGAUAUCUGGAGGAAUACCGGUGCGAAGGCGGCAUCUGGACCGACAUUGACGCUGAGGAGCGAAAGCUAGGGGAGCAAACGGGG
rnacentral:rRNA from 1 species